rnacentral:misc_RNA from 1 species
GCAAACUUGGUCAUUUAGAGGAAGUAAAAGUCGUAACAAGGUUUCCGUAGGUGAACCUGCGGAAGGAUCAUUACAAAUCCACGUCUCCUUUCGAGACACGUUGAAAAGUUGGCUGGGCUUUUAUAAGGGGAUGCCUUUGUAGAUGCUGUGAGAUGUCAUAUUCCCAUUCACUACAAAGGCAAGUCUCGGCCCAUGCCUAUACCUUCUUUACUACUAAGUUGCUCAGUUGCAAUCAAAAACUUACACAACUUAUAACAAUGGAUCUCUAGGCUCUUGCAUCGAUGAAGAACGCAGC